UUCGGGGUAAAGCAGGUUUGCUUUCCCUCUCAAGUUUCAAGUCACACCCUCCCUCGUGUUCUUGGUACGAUUCCAUGGAUGGUCACAUUACAUGUGUGUGUGUGUGUGUGUGAUUUCGGCCUCGUAUCUAAUCUUUCUUUGUAGUAAUGAUGUGAUUUUUACAUGCCCGUCUUUCAUGGAUUCAUGGUCGCAGGCACGAGCUGUGGAGGACGAAGCAAUCGAGCAUGACGAAGUUUGUGUAGCGGCUGGCUCAUGCGCUGUCUCGGCUUCGGGGUAAAGCAGGUUUGCUUUCCCUCUCAAGUUUCAAGUCACACCCUCCCUCGUGUUCUUGGUACGAUUCCAAGGAUGGUCACAUUACAUGUGUGUGUGUGUGUGUGUGUGUGUGAUUUCGGCCUCGUAUCUAAUCUUUCUUUGUAGUAAUGAUAGGAUCAGAAGACCCACUCUUUUUUCUGUACAGUAAGCAACCACCAUAUUUAUUUUACAAUGUGUCACAGGAAAUCAGAACCCCUUUUGCUUUGCUACUAUUAAUUUUUGGUAUCCAAGGAAAAUAUGGUGGCAACAAAUAUUUGUCUUGGAUCCACCCCUGCUAUUAAUGUCUCCUAUCUUGUACAAAUAUUCUGUGGUGGAUGCAGAGAUAGAAGCCUCUGCAUUGACAUCUUAAUCACAACAAAUAUUUCAAAGCUGGGGAUGUAUGGCAAAUAUUAGUUGCACGAAUUCCAGUCCUUGAGUGUGUCUACAAGUGGAUUCAGGCUUAGCCUGUUAUACUCGGUCUUCAAACUGAACGGCAAUGCACUGGUCCUGGAAAGAUUGGGAGUGAUCUUAGUGCCAGAAAGAAACAACCUUAGGGGUGCAGGGGACCAGUGGAGCAGGUUGUAAACAGUAAGCCCCUUCCAGUAAAAUUGAUAGCUUCGUGGCCAGCAAGUUUUUUUUGUGAUGGUAGGACUGAUUGCUCUACCUACACAUAUCAUUUUUUGAUACAAUAUUAGAGCUUAUUCCAUCUACCUUGUUCUCUAUUUCCAGAAGGGUGUAUGAUGUGGUGUUUCCUUCAUAUGAAAUCAUUUGUAGUUUGCACAAACUUAACUUGCAAUAACAUAUUCUUAAAUUUUUAUUAUGUGUACCUGAUGUCUUUUGCACAUUUUGAUUAUUGGAUUUUGAGAGAUUCUCAAGAUUAGUAUAGCCAUUACUGAUGCAGUGAUGUGGACUUUGUAGCUUCUUGGGAUUUGCUCGGCAAGUCGCCCGGGUCAUGCGACAUUGUGGCACAUGUGCGAGUAGGGGCUGCUGCUUAUAUCAGUUGCUUGUACAGAUUUUUUUUGACCAUAAAACAGUAGGGUAAAGCCCUACUGUGUGUCAUUUUCAUUAUAUAGAAUAAAAAGUGCUGGAUACAAUGGUUGUUGGGGGAGCAACCAGAGUGGAAAGGUUCACAGAAAGUAAAAAAAGUGCUUGUACAAAUUUG